AAUCAACGCUGGCGGCGUGCCUAACACAUGCAAGUCGUACGCGAAAGGGGAGCAAUCCCUGAGUAGAGUGGCAAACGGGUGAGUAACACGUGGGUGACCUGCCUCAGAGUGGGGGAUAAC
rnacentral:rRNA from 1 species